GACGAACGCUGGCGGCGUGCUUAACACAUGCAAGUCGAACGGAAAGGCCCUGCUUGCAGGGUACUCGAGUGGCGAACGGGUGAGUAACACGUGGGUGAUCUGCCCUGCACUUCGGGAUAAGCUUGGGAAACUGGGUCUAAUACCGGAUAGGAGCCAUCUUUAGUGUGGUGGUUGGAAAGUUUUUUCGGUGUAGGAUGAGCUCGCGGCCUAUCAGCUUGUUGGUGGGGUAAUGGCCUACCAAGGCGGCGACGGGUAGCCGGCCUGAGAGGGUGUACGGCCACAUUGGGACUGGGAUACGGCCCAGAGUCCUACGGGAGGCAGCAGUGGGGAAUAUUGCACAAUGGGCGCAAGCCUGAUGCAGCGACGCCGCGUGGGGGAUGAAGGCCUUCGGGUUGUAAACUCCUUUCGCUAGGGACGAAGCUUGUUUGUGACGGUACCUAGAUAAGAAGCACCGGCUAACUACGUG
rnacentral:rRNA from 1 species